GGAAGGAAGGCCAAAAAAAGGACUAGCACCAAAAGGGUGAGGCCCCAGGGGACGAAGAGGAUUGACGGAAUCAAAAUGCAUGUACUGUCCUACGUGGUGUCCCGUCCUGAACAGACAGAUGAGGAUGAUGGGAUCUGUAACACUCAGUUGUACCGUAAUAUGGUACGGAUUCAUGUUGUUUUUCUGCUUACGUGUGUGUAAGAUACUCAUAUUAUCACGACCUACCAAGGAGCAUCUGGAGUCACGAUAAAGAAGAUGAAUGCGUAUAUACUUUCUUUGUCUCCGGAUUGGCUGAACUAUGGACAAAUGACAUUAUAAAGACAGUUCUCUUAUCUGAUCACAUAACAUAUACCCAGGAGAAAUCAUGUGACCUGCUGUGUGUUAAUGCGGGUUCCAUUGUAAUCCUGCCUAAUUAAUAAUAAUUUCUCUUUCAUUUGGUCCAACUGUUUCACGUUAUCUUUGCUUUAUCCAACCUUUUUCCUUCCAAUCCACGACAUAUAUGGGAAUUUACGAGCGUGUAACUGGGUCUUCAAUCCGUGUAAUAAUGGCGCAAAGUGUGAAGUAAAGAGAUCUUGUACCAGAUGUGAUCAGAUCUCUAGGGAUUUUAUACCCCGGGGAGGACAAAGAAAAGGAAAAGAAUUACACCGAUGUUUACUGAACCCGGGGGACGCUGACAUAUUGACGACUUCUCAUAUAGAAAAAUGGAUUUUAUGAUCUGAGACCGAAAAUAGACGUCAAGACGGGAAACGCUGGUCUAGGGUUUGUGAUAAAUAAAAGUAUCUGC